GUGAGAGGGGGGGAGGGAUACUACUCAGAAGGGUGGUGGGAAUGGGUAAUUGGCUGAUAGAUGUGGUGAAUCACCCAUUCCCACCACCCUUCUGAGUAGUACCCCACCCUCCCACUAUAU